rfam:Pteropus alecto contig28561, whole genome shotgun sequence.
UCCUACGGCCACGCCACCCUAAACAAGCCCGACCUCAUUUGAUCUCGGAAGCUAAGCAGGGCCGGGCCUGGUUAGUACUUGGAUGGGAGACCACCUAGGAAGACCAGGUGCUGUAGGCG